rnacentral:rRNA from 1 species
AUUGAACGCUGGCGGCAUGCUUUACACAUGCAAGUCGAACGGUAACAGGUCUUCGGAUGCUGACGAGUGGCGAACGGGUGAGUAAUGUAUCGGAACGUGCCCAGUAGUGGGGGAUAACUACUCGAAAGAGUGGCUAAUACCGCAUGAGAACUGAGGUUGAAAGCGGGGGACCUUCGGGCCUCGCGCUACUGGAGCGGCCGAUAUCAGAUUAGGUAGUUGGUGGGGUAAAGGCCUACCAAGCCGACGAUCUGUAGCUGGUCUGAGAGGACGACCAGCCACACUGGGACUGAGACACGGCCCAGACUCCUACGGGAGGCAGCAGUGGGGAAUUUUGGACAAUGGACGCAAGUCUGAUCCAGCAAUGCCGCGUGCAGGACGAAGGCCUUCGGGUUGUAAAC